UACGGAGGGUGCAAGCGUUAUCCGGAUUCACUGGGUUUAAAGGGUGCGUAGGCGGCGCGGUAAGUCGGGUGUGAAAUCUCGGGGCUUAACUCCGAAACUGCAUUCGAUACUGCCGUGCUUGAGGACUGGAGAGGAGACUGGAAUUUACGGUGUAGCGGUGAAAUGCGUAGAUAUCACUUGGAACGCCAAUGGUGAAAACAGAUAGCUGGGGUUGUGCUGACACUGAGACACGAAAGCCAGGGGAGCAAACGGG
rnacentral:rRNA from 1 species